AAUCAUAGCCUUUCUACAACAUGCCUAAACUCUGAGUGGUUUGAAUUUAUUUCUCAAGAUCCAGGAAUAGGCUUCGCAUUAGCAACAUGAAGCCUGAGUCUAUGAACACUUGAAACAAGAUGGAUUCAAUUCAGUAAAACUACCAUAGCCUAUUUUUUCCAAAACAACUGACUUUUGCUCUCUUGCUCGCUCUCUGUCUUUUUUGGUCUCUGUCAGUUUCUCUUUCCUUGUGUCUUUCAUUUUCUUUAAAAGAUGUGUGCUGUAAUUAAUUUAAUGCAUUUGAUAUAUUUCACCCGGGCAUUUGGUUAACAUGUUGCGUACCACUCUGUUCCACUUUCUUGUUUUCAGCCCGUGGCAGUUUGAAAGGCAGAUGCAAUGUUCUCUGCUCUGCGAUCCCUGCUGUCAAGAGUCUGCUGUAAUUGGUACAGAUUUAGCAGAACUAUAAACCCUUAUGAAGAGGAUCACAAAAUGACUAUGAGAAUGGAACAGCUUCCUCACAAAGGCGCAAUAAAAAGACCACAUUUUUCAACAUGGGAAGGACAGUUGCCAGUCUUGGACGGAUUUCAGUUGCUCCUGGCAGCAGUCACCUCACCAGUUCAUGUUCUGCCCAGUGUUGCGUAACCUCUAAACAAGCCUCCUGACUUGAGCAGUUUCUGACCAUUUUUCACCACCACCUACACCUUCCACCCACCCUGAGCGUCAGCUACGAAGUUUGGUAAUGCCCAGCUAGUUCAUACAGGAUAAGAACAAGGUAUACAAAUUUAUAAAUAGUGUGGAUUGUACUUUUAUAUUAAAACCCAGAACACAGGCAUUCUUGAAGCCCAAAGGAAAAAACGCCCACAAGGAUAACACCACCACUAACAAUGAUUCCAUUACAAAGUAAUCACUACUUUAUACAAUGGAUAGUAAAUAGAUAAAGUUAUGGUCAAUAAUUUGUCCAAGAGGAGAUUUAUAUAUACAUUCAAGAAGAGUUUUUACUCAGUUUGUGGAUAAAAGACAUAUAAAUGACUAAUAAAGGGAAAUGAAAGAUUUCA
rnacentral:lncRNA from 1 species